UCUGGUUUUCAUGUCCAAUGUUUAACCGUCCGUCUUAUUUAAAAAAUUAUAAAAAAAUUUUAAAAAAUUCACGCAUAAAGUAUUAAUCAUGUUUUAUCAUCUAACAACAAUAAAAAUAUUAAUUAUAAAAGAUUUUAUAUAAGACAGACGGUCAAACGUUGAACACGAAAACAUACAUAGG
rfam:Oryza sativa Japonica Group DNA, chromosome 1, cultivar: Nipponbare, complete sequence.